rnacentral:rRNA from 1 species
GACGAACGCUGGCGGCGUGCCUAAUACAUGCAAGUAGAACGCACAGUUUAUACCGUAGCUUGCUACACCAUAGACUGUGAGUUGCGAACGGGUGAGUAACGCGUAGGUAACCUGCCUGGUAGCGGGGGAUAACUAUUGGAAACGAUAGCUAAUACCGCAUAAUAUUAAUUAUUGCAUGAUAAUUAAUUGAAAUGUGCAAUUGCACCACUACCAGAUGGACCUGCGUUGUAUUAGCUAGUAGGUGAGGUAACGGCUCACCUAGGCGACGAUACAUAGCCGACCUGAGAGGGGGAUAGGCCACACUGGGACUGAGACACGGCCCAGACUCCUACGGGAGGGAGCAGUAGGGAAUCUUCGGCAAUGGACGAAAGUCUGACCGAGCAACGGCGCGUGAGUGAAGAAGGUUUUCGGAUCGUAAAGCUCUGUUGUAAGAGAAGAACGGGUGGGAGAGUGGAAAGUUCACACUGUGACGGUAUCUUACCAGAAAGGGACGGCUAACUACGUG